GUGGGGAAUCUUAGACAAUGGGGGAAACCCUGAUCUAGCCAUGCCGCGUGAUCGAUGAAGGCCUUAGGGUUGUAAAGAUCUUUCAGGUGGGAAGAUAAUGACUGUACCACCAGAAGAAGCCCCGGCUAACUCCGUGCCAGCAGCCGCGGUAAUACGGAGGGGGCUAGCGUUGUUCGGAAUUACUGGGCGUAAAGCGCACGUAGGCGGAUUGGAAAGUUGGGGGUGAAAUCCCGGGGCUCAACCCCGGAACUGCCUUCAAAACUCCCAGUCUUGAGUUCGAGAGAGGUGAGUGGAAUUCCGAGUGUAGAGGUGAAAUUCGUAGAUAUUCGGAGGAACACCAGUGGCGAAGGCGGCUCACUGGCUCGAUACUGACGCUGAGGUGCGAAAGCAUGGGGAGCAAACAGGAUUAGAAACCCGUGUAGUCC
rnacentral:rRNA from 1 species